GGUCACUGGUUCACUGCUGAAUAGCCUUGGUCAGUUUUGGCUCUCUCCUAUUUUAGGGGGAAAAAUAUUUUUGUUUCUUUUUUUUAAAAAAUAAAAUGUUCGCACAAUGGGAGAAAAUUGCUUUAAGUGUUACACCUUAGCCAACAGAGCCCAAACUCCGUGUUUCCGUUCUUUCUCUUUCGGUUUCUGCUGAGGGCUGGUGACACACUGGCCUCUUGUCAGUGGCUGCCGGCAGGGCCAGGAACAGAGUAGAACCUGCAGCACAGCUCAGUCCAGAAAGCGCUGGCAGGCCUUCUUCCACCGGCAGGCCGUGCACCACUGGUCCCGGUGCUCGAUGCCAUACACCUUGCGGCACUUCUUAGCCUCCCCUCGGGCUUUCCUGCAGAAAGAGAGGAAUGCAAAUCGAGCCCCACACAGGUGGUGGGCCCAGGAGAGUGGCCAAGUGGGGCUGGGAGAACAAGCAGAGGCCAAAGGGGCAGCUCCCGGCAAAAGUCACCAGGACCAGGGGCCAGAGGCUCUGAGGACCAAACAGUCAUCCCAUCUGGUGCAUCCGCCAUCUGGGCUCCUCUCUGGGGACUAACCCUGGUGACUUCAUCUGGGUGGGGUCGGAGUCCACGCCACUGGAGACAGGGCACAGAAACCAGAAGGCAGGGGACGACAGCGGACAUCUCACCUGGCACCACUCUGGGCCCGGGGUGGAGAAGUGACGAUCAGAUGAGAUUUCAUCGCAGGUGCUGGCUGCUGGGGCUCGCUGAAGCUUAGCGACCGGCUCCGGACCUGGGCGUGGGGAGAGGGGCUGUGAGCACAGGGACAUUCAGGAAAGGUGAGGGAGCUAUCCUAAAAGACAGGCAGCCACCCGUCCCCAGCUCCUGGUGCAGAAGGCCUCGCACCUUCUCAGGGAGAACACUCCAGCCGAGGGGAGCUCUUGGCAGGAGAGUGAGGAAGGAGCAGGCCUUCAUGCCACACUCAGGACCCAGCCAAGGACAAGGACAGGGGAGCCACUGGACCUGGCCCCCUCUGAGGCUCUCCUGCAGGGGACUUAGACGGAGCCGCUAUGCCUGGAAGCCUCACACUGCCU
rnacentral:lncRNA from 1 species